CAUGCACCGAAGCUGCGGCAGCGACGCUUAUGCGUUGUUGGGUAGGGGAGCGUUCUGUAAGCCUGCGAAGGUGGCCUGUGAGGGUUGCUGGAGGUAUCAGAAGUGCGAAUGCUGACAUAAGUAACGAUAAAGCGGGUGAAAAGCCCGCUCGCCGGAAGACCAAGGGUUCCUGUCCAACGUUAAUCGGGGCAGGGUGAGUCGACCCCUAAGGCGAGGCCGAAAGGCGUAGUCGAUGGGAAACGGGUUAAUAUUCCCGUACUUGGUGUUACUGCGAAGGGGGGACGGAGAAGGCUAUGUUGGCCGGGCGACGGUUGUCCCGGUUUAAGCGUGUAGGUGUGUGUUCCAGGUAAAUCCGGUUCACUUUAACACUGAGGCGUGACGACGAGGCACUACGGUGCUGAAGCAACAAAUGCCCUGCUUCCAGGAAAAGCCUCUAAGCAUCAGGUAACAUCAAAUCGUACCCCAAACCGACACAGGUGGUCAGGUAGAGAAUACCAAGGCGCUUGAGAGAACUCGGGUGAAGGAACUAGGCAAAAUGGUGCCGUAACUUCGGGAGAAGGCACGCUGACACGUAGGUGAAGUGAUUUACUCAUGGAGCUGAAGUCAGUCGAAGAUACCAGCUGGCUGCAACUGUUUAUUAAAAACACAGCACUGUGCAAACACGAAAGUGGACGUAUACGGUGUGACGCCUGCCCGGUGCCGGAAGGUUAAUUGAUGGGGUCAGCGCAAGCGAAGCUCCUGAUCGAAGCCCCGGUAAACGGCGGCCGUAACUAUAACGGUCCUAAGGUAGCGAAAUUCCUUGUCGGGUAAGUUCCGACCUGCACGAAUGGCGUAAUGAUGGCCAGGCUGUCUCCACCCGAGACUCAGUGAAAUUGAACUCGCUGUGAAGAUGCAGUGUACCCGCGGCAAGACGGAAAGACCCCGUGAACCUUUACUAUAGCUUGACACUGAACAUUGAGCCUUGAUGUGUAGGAUAGGUGGGAGGCUUUGAAGUGUGGACGCCAGUCUGCAUGGAGCCGACCUUGAAAUACCACCCUUUAAUGUUUGAUGUUCUAACGUGGACCCGUUACCCGGGUUGCGGACAGUGUCUGGUGGGUAGUUUGACUGGGGCGGUCUCCUCCUAAAGAGUAACGGAGGAGCACGAAGGUUGGCUAAUCCUGGUCGGACAUCAGGAGGUUAGUGCAAUGGCAUAAGCCAGCUUGACUGCGAGCGUGACGGCGCGAGCAGGUGCGAAAGCAGGUCAUAGUGAUCCGGUGGUUCUGAAUGGAAGGGCCAUCGCUCAACGGAUAAAAGGUACUCCGGGGAUAACAGGCUGAUACCGCCCAAGAGUUCAUAUCGACGGCGGUGUUUGGCACCUCGAUGUCGGCUCAUCACAUCCUGGGGCUGAAGUAGGUCCCAAGGGUAUGGCUGUUCGCCAUUUAAAGUGGUACGCGAGCUGGGUUUAGAACGUCGUGAGACAGUUCGGUCCCUAUCUGCCGUGGGCGCUGGAGAACUGAGGGGGGCUGCUCCUAGUACGAGAGGACCGGAGUGGACGCAUCACUGGUGUUCGGGUUGUCAUGCCAAUGGCACUGCCCGGUAGCUAAAUGCGGAAGAGAUAAGUGCUGAAAGCAUCUAAGCACGAAACUUGCCCCGAG
rnacentral:rRNA from 1 species